GCGCCAGUGGCUCAGUGGUUAAAGUGCUUGGCUGCUAACCAAAACGUCAGAGGUUUGAACCCAUCAGCUGCU
rnacentral:tRNA from 1 species